GCAACAGCUCAAAUUUGAAAUCUGGCCCCCUCGGGGUCCGAGUUGUAAUUUGGAGAGGAUGCUUCGGGUGUGGCCCCGGUCUAAGUUCCUUGGAACAGGACGUCACAGAGGGUGAGAAUCCCGUACGUGCCCGGUGGCCGCCCCCGUGUGAAGCUCCUUCGACGAGUCGAGUUGUUUGGGAAUGCAGCUCAAAAUGGGUGGUAAAUUUCAUCUAAAGCUAAAUAUUGGCCAGAGACCGAUAGCGCACAAGUAGAGUGAUCGAAAGAUGAAAAGCACUUUGGAAAGAGAGUUAAACAGUACGUGAAAUUGUUGAAAGGGAAGCGCUGGCAACCAGACUUGCGCGGGGUCGAUCAUCCGGUGUUCGCACCGGUGCACUCGGCCCCGCGCAGGCCAGCAUCGGUCUGGGCGGCUGGAUAAAGGCCUUGGGAAUGUGGCUCUCUUCGGGGAGUGUUAUAGCCCAAGGUGCAAUGCAGCCCGCCUGGACCGAGGACCGCGCUCCGGCUAGGAUGCUGGCGUAAUGGUUGUCAGCG
rnacentral:rRNA from 1 species